rnacentral:lncRNA from 1 species
AAUUAAAACUAGUGUGUGCUGCAGUGUGUGAGAGGAGAGAAAAAACAGUGGGGGCUCAACAAAAGCAGCGGAUGUAGCAGGUUCUUAGGCAAGGCCCCCACUGAUGAGAGCCUCUGGCUGUGGGCCAGACUCAGGCGGCCACAGAAAGCCCACAGCACAGGUCCCAGCUGAACCACAAACUGCUGCCCCACCGUCCCCAGCUCACAGCAAAACAGAAACUCGAAGCAGAAGCUGCUCCCCAAAAGCAGCACCCCAAAAGAUGCUGGGGCAGGCGCCAUGGGCAAGGCUGUCUCCUUCUGGCCCUUCCGUCCUGCUGCUGGUGAUCUGUGAGUUGGGGCAUUGCUGGGAGUGGGGGCAGAGGGUUGGAAGGCUGCUGCUGGGAGCAGGACAGGCUUGUGGUGGGCACAGGGGAGGAUGGGGACAGCGUGUGUGGGGCAGUGGUGCAGCAUUGUGGGGCAUCGUUACCAUGGGGAAAGUAGGAUGGGGAUGGCUUCCUCCAGGUAUGAUACAGAUCUGAGCAAGGGGCACACUUUUCCAACACCAUAAAUUGUCUGGAGUGUUGCUCUGAGGCUCUAGGACUGCUGAGUUACUUAAGGAGAUAUGGGAUUUACCUGGAACAAGAAAUCCACAAAAAAAGGGAUUGGGAUUGACAUUGUUCAAGAGGUUAUUGAAGAGAUACAGCAUGAGAACACACAGAUGUGAUGAUGCCUGCUUAGCAGUGAGGAUUUGGUCAGGGGGGAUAUGUGAGUAGGGAGAUAUGGUUGAGACUUGUCACUGCUCCUCUCACCAAAUCCCUCUCUGUCCCUUCAUACAGGUGGCAGCAUGACAUCCCAGAACAUCUGCAGCUACCCAGGUACUCGUGAGUCCUUCCCUCCCAGAGCCAGGGCACUUGGAAGCCCAACCACUGUGAGCUCUGCUCUAUGGCAGCCCUUCACUGCUGUGUCUCCUCCAGGGGAUCUUCCAGCUCCUGCUCUCCAAAUGAACUCAACUUCUGCUCAGCCAGGUACCACAGUUGUGCUCUGGUGUAUUCUCCCUGUGGUGUCACCCGUAAUACGAAUCAUCAUCUGCAAGGAUGGCAAGCAGCUGGACAGCGAGAAAGCCCAUCAAGGGCAGCUGAGCUACUCUGUGGUCCUGAACAUCACGUCAAGAAGCGCAGGAAUAUAUACCUGUGGGUACCAGCAGAGGAAUGAGAUGAAACAGAGGAGGAGCUCUGCCCUCAGUGCUGGCCAAAUCCUGGAUGUCCCUGGUGCAGCUGCUGGUGUGACCACGCAGGACUUCUGCAGCUCCCCAGGCAAUGUGGUGAGUUCCCCAGCAAGUCCACCACCCUCAGGUGAGUGAUUCCCUCCUGCAACCCCAGAAACCCGAGCAUGGGGAGUGGGCGUGCUGUGCUGCCUUCCCCAGGGCAUGGGGACAAGCAGGAGCUUUACUAGGCAGGAGCUGUGCCAGCUGCACGGGCAUGUCCUGCUCCCUGCCUCUCCCCAUCGCACCCCGCUGCCCUCACACCCUCUCUCCCCCAGCUCCCCAUGCCUGGCUCCCUCACGCCCUCCCCACAGGCACAGUGCUGGCAGUGGCGGCUGUCGGCCUCGUCCUCCUGGCUGUAGGCAUCUAAUUUGCCAUCAGGAAAGGUCAGGAAGUGGGGGAAGGCAAGGGAAAGGCUGAGGCCAUGGGGGUCUGCUGUGGGACUGGUGCAGUGGCAAAGGAAUUAGAGGGAACCUGGGGAUGCACAGCUAGGGCAGACGGUGCCUGGGGGCGAUGGCUGUGGCAGCCCAGCUGGGGAAGUUGCUGAGGGAGCUGGGGACCUUCAGCCUUCAUCCCCCAGCCCCGAGAUGGGAGCCAGGGCUGGGCAGCACCUUGGCCUGCGCACCUCAGCCCCUGUUCUUCUUGCAGGUGCCUGCAGAGGGAGAUGCCCAAGGUGAGCACCAAGGGCUGCUGGCUGGGGUUUGUUGGAGGUUGUGGGGGGCAUUGCAGGGCCCUGGGGUGCUGCAUGGCCAAGGGUAGAUUUGUCCUUCUGUGUGACUGCAUUUCCUUUGCAGAAGGCAUGGGAGAAGUGGCUUGCUGUGGGGUGGACUUCAGCUGAAUCCUGGAAGGAUUAUAGCAUCAUCCAUGGGAAUGGCCCAAAUGGCCCUGUGCUUCUUUGUGGCACUGGUGCUGCAGACCUUCAGGACAUUUUUUCUCUCCUCUCUCUGUUUGUCUCCAUGGUGCUGGUAGUGCUCAAGACUCUUCUGCUGACCCCAGUCAUUUCUGUAAGUGCCAGGCCCUUCUUCACCCUUCUCCUCUAGGCACUGUGCAAAAUACUGAUGCCUUUGCAUGGCAAGCCGUAACCAUGGGGGCAACGGUG